rnacentral:rRNA from 1 species
CAGUAGCCGCGGGAAUACGUAGGUGGCAAGCGUUGUCCGGAAUUAUUGGGCGUAAAGGGCUCGCAGGCGGUUUCUUAAGUCUGAUGUGAAAGCCCCCGGCUCAACCGGGGAGGGUCAUUGGAAACUGGGAAACUUGGGUGCAGAAGAGGAGAGUGGAAUUCCACGUGUAGCGGUGAAAUGCGUAGAGAUGUGGAGGAACACCAGUGGCGAAGGCGACUCUCUGGUCUGUAACUGACACUGAGGAGCGAAAGCGUGGGGAGCGAACAGGAUUAGAUACCCCCGUAGUCCCUGUCUCUUAUAU